UGUUAACAAAGUGACAAAGCAAAAGUCAUUGCCUACUGCGAUUCAAUAUUAAGCGCCUUGGAAACAUUUGGUUUCAAUGUGUUGCAAUGACGGCUGAUUUAUGCAUUUUUAAAUUUCGUUAAAAAAUCACAAUCCAUACAAUUAGUUUACAAUCUUUUAAACCAUUUGUUUUUUUCAAAAGAUAAAUAAUUUAAUUAAUAAUUACGAUUAAAUAAAUUGAUUUUUUCCCCUUUUUUUUGCCCAACAUCCCAAGUGACCAUACUGUCUGGUGCCUAGUGAUGCAAAUGGCGAUAUCUAAUCCAUUCGGUAGUUGAUGACAUUUUAAGAAAUUAGAAGUCUAUUUUCCAAGAAAAAAAAGGAGUUACGCAAUUUGCUACCAGUUGAGGUCAAAUUAGGUACCUGGGGUUAACCUUUAUUCAGGGCGAAGUUGGAGCCAAACUAAGUUACCCUAUCGAUAUAGGCGAGCCAUCAUUCGUACUCAUAAUGGGAUUGCUAUGGAAAUAUUAUCAUUCUACCGCUAAUCAUAUGACAAAUUACCUUAAUUACUUACAGUUUGAGGCAUUGCGAUUUGGUACAAUUACAAGGUUUCCUGGGUCGAAUGCCAUUGGCCUCGAGGCUGGAUGAAGAUUUCUGAGAGUUUUUACCCUCAGAUAUUGAUCCGAUUGAUAAAUUUGCUAAUGAAGCCUGAGAAGAUCCUAACAAACUCGGCGUUGAUUGCUGCGAUUUUCCCUUUGUCUCCUCUGAUUGUUGCUGCAGGAUCAUCAAUAACAAAGCAAAGGAAUCGAACAAAGGUGUGACAUCAAAGAAUGUAGUUGCAAGAAUAAAACGUGUUAUCAC